AUCUCAUUUCCACCACGUGUGAAAUUCACCAUCAGCUGAAUUUACUCGGAAGCCAUCGUUGCCUUUCCUUGGAGCGUUCGUCUCUCUGCACCGGGUCAACGGACUUUCCUCUCAUCUCACGAUGCCUCCCAGGGCUGCCGCCUUCCCAGAGUGCCUAGUGUGUGUGUGUGAGCCAUCAUUCAUUCUUGGGUCAGAGUUGAAGCUGCUGGAUCAGAGAUGAAUUGGCCAUCGGAAGAGUCCUGCUGGGCAGCCAUCUGCGGGAUGACGAGCCCUUCUGCCCAGAGUCCUAGAGACCGGACCGGGGGGGGGUUCAUUGGAAACGGUUCUGGCAGGCAAAGAGGAUUAAUAACACGUUGCCCUUCCCAAAGAAGUGCUUCAGCAAUUAGCUUCUGUUGAGAGAGAUCUGAAGUCACACAGCCAUUUUAGCUGCUGCGUCAUUCCCAGGCCGGUCAGAAUCCAAAAGGAACAUUUCUCGAGAGACAUAUUGGUGAUGCACUGAAAACGACUCUCCUGUUGUGGAAAACAAGAUGCUUACCUCUUUGGUUAGCCUCCUCCGUCAUGCUAUGAUUGAAACAUUCAGGAGGUGGUAGGCUACUUUUAAAGUAAAAUCGAUUAUGUGUUGCUAAUUGAGAAAGAAGCUAACGUGUUUUUGACUGCUUGGACAACAUGGUGUGGCGGUUUGUGUUUUUAACACUUAAACAUAAUGGAACGGAUGGAUUAUGGCCAUUGCCAGGGAAAAUAAACACCAUGAUUGUUGA